AACUUACAAAACAUACACUAAUACAGAUUUUAAAAAUAAAUGUUUACAAUAAUUUGCUGAGUGUUGUUUUAUUUACAAGUUGCCACGGCGUGGUUAAGGACAGUUCCAUCUAAGUAGUAAUUAUUUUAUUUAUUUUAAAUUUAUAUUUAUACCUAUAACGUUAACAGUAGCUUUUUUUUUUUUUUAAUUUUGGCAUCGCGCGGUUUGCGCAUAUGCCACUAACAAAAGCAGGGAAACGUUUAUCAAGAUUUGAAAGGAUAUUACUCACGGAAUUUGAAAAGGAUCAGAUAGGAUUACUAUGAUAGGAUAAGUAUACGGAUUUAUAAUUUCAAAUUAUUAUCUAACAGGAAAAUAGUUAAAGCUGUAUAUAUAUCAGGAUUAGAACAUGAAAGAAGAGAUUUGAUAGAAGUAGGAAAUGGUAUACGGAUGGAGACCAGACGAUUAUAAAAGGAAAAAACGUCAUUCAAAGGGCAGGUAAAGAAAAUAUGAUUAAGAUCACCCACAUCCCCACAAGCACACAAAUCUGAAUCAAUUAUAUUAUACCUGGCCAAAUGUAUAGGUGUGCAUGCAUGACCCAAUCUCAUUCGAAUAAUUGAUGAAGUAACUUGUUUACCAAACCUCAGAGAUGAAAACCAUGGCUUACUAGGAAUAUUAGGUUGUAAAGACUUAAAAAAUUUCCCCUUGAUCCUCCCACUAGUUUCCCAAGCUUCAUCCCAAGUUUUCUUGAGAUAGAGCCUAGGCAGCGUAGUCAAAUCAUGGCAGUAAUUAAUGUAAGGAUGAAUGUCACCACACACCACGGCCUCAUUAGCUAGACGAUCAGCUACAACAUUACCAACAAUAUCUACGUGUCCUGGAAUCCAGGCAAACAUCACGACAUAUCCUCUUAAAACACAAUUAUGUAAAGCAGUUCUAAUAUUAAAUAUUACAGGAUACAUGGGCUUAGAUUGAAAUGGAUAUCUUUGAAUCGCCAUUAAAGUGCUUUUAGAAUCAGAUAAUAUAAGGGUUUUUUCUAAUUUCAUUAACAAAAUGUAUUCUAAUGUUUUGAGGAUACCAAAACAUUCCCCUGUAAAAACAGAUGUUUCGGGAGGAAACUUAAUUUUUUGGACUAUAUUCAAUUGUUUGUGAUAAACACCAAUUCCAACAUGAGAAGUAUGUUUCGAAGCAUCAGUGUAAAUGUGAUGCCAAUUGUGGAAAUUAUCGUCUAUCACAGAAUUAAAUUCAUAAUUAGCACUAACGAUAUUUCUGUUGAUGCCCAAGUUCAAACAAAUAUUGGGUGAGAUAGUCAAACUUUCAAAACUACAGGAGAACAAAGGAAGUGAAGGACAACGAUAAACAGGUGAUUGAAUGGACAUAAAUUUUCGAAAACUAAUUAUUAAACAAGGUAAGGACUUAUGUCUCCAAUAAGCGGAGGUGUUAACUAAUUCUGACAAUAAUUUGAGUUUAUUAAAAAGUGGAUGAUUAGAGUUCUGUACAAAGCGGAAGAAGAAUUUGUCUGCGUAACUGUAAGGGUGGUUCACAACAUUCAACUUGCAGGGCAUUAAUAGGCGUAGUCUUCAUAGCCCCAGUAAUAAUUCGAAGAGCUUUAGCUUGUAUGCUAUUCAUUUUGGAAAAACCAGAAGAACAACCGGGUUCAAGAAGAAAGGUACCAUAAUCUAGUACACUUCUAAUGAUAGCAUUAUAUAUUAAUUUUAAAGACAAAGGAUGCGCUCCCCACCACACUCCCGAAAGACAUCUUAUUAUAUUUAACAACCGCUCGCACUUAGCCACCACAUAUUCCGUAUGGGGAAGUCCAGUGAGUCUUGCAUCGAGAUAAACACCUAAAAAUUUAACAUUAUUUUUCACUGGAAUUAUAAUAUUAUUGUAUUUAAUGAGGACGGGAGGGGGUAAUCGGCAUCUAGAAAAUAAUACUAUUGAGCUUUUUGAUGGUGUAAGUUCUAAAUUAUUUUGGAACAGCCAGUUCUUUAAUUGAUGAAGGGAAGAAUCCAGAGCAAAUUUAGCAUUAUCAAUGGACUUAUUUACAUUAUAAAUUAACAAAUCAUCUGCAUACUGUAGUACCUUAACAUCGUUGCCCAAUGAAUACUCUAAAUCAUAUGUAUAAAUAUUAUAUAAAAUCGUACUUAGGACUGAUCCCUGCGGGAUACCUUUCCAAACUAUUCUAGCAGGUUCAUUAGAAUCUCGCAGGGUAAUUGAACGCUCUAAUAAAAUGUUCAAAAUAAAAUGUAUUAACAUAAAUGGAAUUUUUAAUUGAUUGAGUUUAUGUUUUAGAAUUGGGAGGGAAACAUUGUCAUAAGCAGAGCUUAUAUCUAAAAAAGCUGCCAAGACAGAAUUAUUAUUAGAAAAUGCCAGACGAAUAUCUGUAGUGAAUAUCGCCAGACUGUCUAUGGUGCUUCUGCCUCUGCGAAAACCAAAUUGAUUUUCUGAUAACAAUUUAUUACUUUCUAUAAACCACUCUAACCUAUUUUUAAUUAAAUGUUCAGCAAUUUUUAGAACAACAGAAGAAAGUGCUAUGGGUCUAUAUGAUGAAGGAUUAUCAGCAGGUUUAUUGGGCUUUAAUAUAGGAAUUAUCUCCUGCUCUUUCCAAUGCGGUGGAAUUUUUCCAGAUUCCAUAACAGAGUUUAAAAUAUUCAAAAAAUAUAGAAGGCAUGUAUCGCUCAUAUGAGUAAAAAAAGAAUACAUGAUACCAUCUUUCCCGGGUGUAGAAUCCUUAACAUUUGUUAAAACUCCUUUCAAUUCAGGUAGUGUAAAGGGGGCAUUAAGAACGUCGGAGGUAUAAUUGCAAUUAUAACCUGUGGAAUAAGUGAAACUGUCACCGAUGUCAUUGACAUUUUUGAUAAAUGUGUUAUCAUGAGCUCUAUGUAAAGAAGAAAUCGGGCUAUAAAUUAGUUCUGGUUGAGGAACAAAGGAAGGAGCCAAAUUAUCCAAAAAUUGAUUAGACAAAGUAGACGGUAGACUGGGGGAUGAAUUCUUGAAAGCUGAUCUAAAACGUUUAAUAUUUUGCCAAACAAAAGAUGGUUUAACUUCAGCCCAGGAACACUCACUAUCCCACCAGGGAGGCAAUGGAAUAUUAUUUGAGGAAGGCUUCUUUGAUGGAAAAACUUCGUCAGCAGUCUCAAUAAUAGCAUGUGCAAAAGCUUCAGAACUCCGAUACACAUCACCUUGGCUUAAGAUAGAAAGAGUUAAGAUCUUAUUAUCUAGGGUAGCUUUGUAUAAAUCCCAGUCUGCGCUAGCCAACUGAUAUUUAAUUCGGAAAGAAGUUUUAGUUUUAUUAAAAUUUUUAAAAGGUAAAUUUAUUAAAAUGGGGAAGUGAUCACUACCAUAAGUGGAGUUUAAGGUUUGCCAAAUCAAUAAUGAGGCUAAACUAGGUGAAGAAAUGGAAAGGUCAGGAGCACUUUUACCUUCAUUAAUAUUGGUUCUUCGUGUAGGAGUGCAAUUAUUUAAAAUACAUAGAUUAAGUUAAUUUACAAUGUCCAACACUUCAUGUCCAUAGUUAUUAUUAUUUGAACUACCCCAUGACUGGUGUUGAGCAUUAAAGUCACCUAAAACAAGUAUAGGUUUGGGAAGAGAUACUAAAAUAUUUUUAACUUCUUUUAAAAUUUGAGAAGAAGGAUGAGGAAUAUAUAUAGAGACAAAGCAAAUGUUAUUUACAAUGAUAGCAAUGAUUGAGAAAUUUUUAUCAUGAGAAGUAAUAUUUACAAGAGAAAAAGAAAGAGGAUGUUUUACUAAUAUUGCAACACCACCAUAGCCAUCAGAUCUAUCUUCUCUAAUACAAGAAUAUCCUUGAAUUUUAAAAAUGGAUUUAGGUUUUAGCCAGGUUUCUUGAAGACAUACUAUGGUGGGAUGAUACUUAUUAAUAAUAUGGAUAAGAUCACUUUUCUUACUAUUUAUACUACGACAAUUCCACUGAAUUGCCUUGGCGUAACUGUCCAUUAUGACUAAUAUAAUUAUUUAUAAUUUCCAUUAUUGGUUGGGCUACGUUGGACGGUUGAUUUUGAUUUAAAAUAUUUAAUAAAGUAAUUAUAAGUUCGACAAUAGAUUGUUUAGAUGAAUCAUUUGUUUCAUUGUUAAAUGCACAACCAUUUUUAGGGGUAGGCAAAUCAAAUUCAUUUAUGAUAGCAUUAUGAGCCUUGACAUCGUAUCCUGUGUUUGAUGUUAAAUGUUGACGAGAUUUUAAAAAUACAGUUUUCUUAUAGGAAACAUUUUGAAAAUCUUUAUUAUUAUUUAUAUGAGUUUUGUUGAUGACAGAGGUUGAAGGAGUGUUUGGGGAAGUUGCUACAACAUCAGAAUAUGAUUUGGUUAUUGUAGGGAAGAUUUUGGAUGCCUCUGCAUAAGAAAUACUAUUUUUACGCGACUGCCAAGGAAGGGUUAUGUUUUUCGCGUGUAUCUUGUAUGUAUGUAUGUAUGUAAUAUUCUUUACUACCUCAUAUUUCCAGAACCACUAAACGGAUUUACAUAAUUGAGGUAUCGUUAGGUUCGUCUUAGCUGCCCAAGUGUUCUUAGAUAGGUGACAUUAAAAAAAAUCAAACAUGGCGGCUGUGCGAAGCCAUUGUAUUUAAUGAAAAAAAAAUUUUUUUUCUCGAAUACUACAAUAUGGGUAUCAAAUUGAAGGGCACAAUACAAGAAUUUUAAAAAGGUAUAUCAUGAUUAUUAUUAGCCAUAUGUUCUUUGAUAUUUUUUUGCCUUAAAAAUUCUUUAUGAAAAUGACCGUCCUUACCACAUUUAAAGCAGCGAGGAGUUGAUCUACACAUAUCUUUGACAUGUCCAUAUCGACAACAUUUAAAACAUUGUAUAGUAGGGUAAAUAUACUAUAAGUCUACAGGAAAAGAAUUAAAACAUAUGAAAAUUCUUUUAGGAAGAAUUUGGCCAUCGAAAGUCAGGACAACUGUUUCCGUAUCAAUAAAACUGGCUUUAUUAUCAAUAAAUGUUUUCUUUUUUAGUCGCCUUGCUUUUAAAACACUCCCACAACCUGGGGGAACAGAAACAUUCUGGAUCACCUCUUCUGUAGACCAUUCUUUGGGAAUCCCUCUUAUAAUACCCAUUCUAGAAACAUUAAAUGAUGGAAUAAAGGCUUUGAAUUUAUUACUCGAAAGCUUAGUAUCGCUGGU
rnacentral:misc_RNA from 1 species